rnacentral:rRNA from 1 species
UACGUAGGCAGCGAGCGUUGUUCGGAGUUACUGGGCGUAAAGAGUGCGUAGGCGGUUUUCUAAGUUUGGUGUGAAAUCUCCCGGCUUAACUGGGAGGGUGCGCCGAAAACUGGAAGGCUUGAGUAUGGGAGAGGUAAGCGGAAUUCCUGGUGUAGCGGUGAAAUGCGUAGAUAUCAGGAGGAACACCGAUGGCGAAGGCAGCUUACUGGGCCGAUACUGACGCUGAGGAGCGAAAGCGUGGGGAGCGAACAGG